rnacentral:lncRNA from 10 species
UUGGAACAUUAUCUGGACAGUUCAAGUGAUUCUCCUGCCUCAGCCUCCUGAAUAGCUGGGAUUACAGGUAUUGAAAACCUUCCCUUUGAAUUACAGAGAAACUUUCAGCUCAUGAGGGACCUAGACCAAAGAACAGAGGGUGGACAAACACAUUCGGCGGCUGGACACAGACCUGGCCCGUUUUGAGGCUGAUCUCAAGGAGAAACAGAUUGAGUCAAGUGACUAUGACAGCUCUUCCAGCAAAGGCAAAAAGAGCCGGACUCAAAAGGAGAAGAAAGCUGCUCGUGCUCGUUCCAAAGGGAAAAACUCGGAUGAAGAAGCCCCCAAGACUGCCCAGAAGAAGUUAAAGCUCGUGCGCACAAGUCCUGAGUAUGGGAUGCCCUCAGUGACCUUUGGCAGUGUCCACCCCUCUGAUGUGUUGGAUAUGCCUGUGGAUCCCAACGAACCCACCUAUUGCCUUUGUCACCAGGUCUCCUAUGGAGAGAUGAUUGGCUGUGACAACCCUGAUUGUUCCAUUGAGUGGUUCCAU